AGUAAUGCUUGGGAAUCUAGCCUAUGGAGGGGGGUAACUACGGGAAACUGUAGCUAAUACCGCGUAAUAUCGGAAGAUUAAAGUGUGGGACCUUCGGGCCACAUGCCAUAGGAUGAGCCCAAGUGGGAUUAGGUAGUUGGUGAGGUAAAGGGCUCACCAAGCCGACGAUCUCUAGCUGGUCUGAGAGGAUGACCAGCCACACUGGGACUGAGACACGGCCCAG
rnacentral:rRNA from 1 species